rfam:Oryctolagus cuniculus cont2.34242, whole genome shotgun sequence.
UGGUGACUGAUCAUACCCGCCAGCUGGCUAAUAUCAUAAUUAACGAAGUUGGUGCGACGUCUGCAAAGUUUAAUCGGAACAUUUACCAGCGAUGUGAUGGCAUCGUUACGAAGAUCACAAGGGACCUGGCCGUGACUUUUGCCCAAGGAGGAAUGGCAAAGCUGUGCAGGCGAAAUGAGAAAUUGCAAACUUGUUCAGCCAAA